UACGUAGGGCGCAAGCGUUGUCCGGAAUUAUUGGGCGUAAAGAGCUCGUAGGCGGCUUGUCACGUCGGAUGUGAAAGCCCGGGGCUUAACCCCGGGUCUGCAUUCGAUACGGGCAGGCUAGAGUGUGGUAGGGGAGAUCGGAAUUCCUGGUGUAGCGGUGAAAUGCGCAGAUAUCAGGAGGAACACCGGUGGCGAAGGCGGGUCUCUGGGCAACAACUGACGCUGAGGAGCGAAAGCGUGGGGAGCGAACAGG
rnacentral:rRNA from 1 species